rnacentral:lncRNA from 1 species
GAAAGUUUCCUCUCACAACCUCUACAAGCCAGAAUGUUGAAUAAAAUUAUAUUUUAACAUUACCGGUUGUCUGUGCGGUUGUGAGAGGAAACUUCCCUGAUCCAAACGAUCAUUUACGCCCGAUGCUGAAUUUAAUGAAAUUCAAAUGUCAGGUCUCCAGGCUAAGGCUGGGCCGGCACCAGAACGAAUCAGUUGGCGGCCAUUUGAUUUCCAUAGGGGGCAUGUUUUUUUUUCAUGGGACCUCCUUGAACCGCUGGGCCUUGAGGGACCCCCCCGUCCGUGUCCCCUCACUCACCCAUUCUCCCCAUCAUACUUUACUUCAUUUAUUUGAUCUGUUGUGAUAAGUGUGAAAUUAGUUUUGGUAUAGUUUAGGUUCAGUUGAGGGAAUUAUCAGGGUGAUUAUCGACUGGGCAUGGCACCUUCAACUAUUGGGAGGGGCGCAGGCCCUACCGUCGGGAGGAAAGGCAACGGGGAAAACCACUUAAAACGACAUGUCCACCUAAAAAUGGUUAUAAUACCAGUUCUGUUUGUGAUAUUAUGAUUCUAUCAACGACAGUGUGUUUUAUAGACUUAAGGAACAGCCAAGGAUGGAGAGGGGAAUGACUUUAAAAAUGGCAGAGUAAUAAAAUGUUUAAAUUCAUGAACAGUCCAAAUGACUGCUUUAGCAGUUCUAGUGUUGGUUUAUAGUAAAGACAAUUUAAACUGUAAAAAUGUAUUACCUUUUAAUGUGGCAUGAACACAAACAGUCUUCCUUUCAUCUGAUUGUCAAACAAUAUCUUCGCACGUUCGUCCAAAAAUAAUUCCAGCAUCCGAACAGUGUACCCGCCAACUUUCCUUAAAUUUGCAAGUGGCUGAAACUACCAUUUCACCCGAGAAAGCAUCCGAGCAAGUGGAAAAGCACCCCCGUCUUACUAUAUGUAGCCCAUGUAUCGGAUGCUGUCUAGCCAAAAAGAGUAUGACAUGCUAUAGUCCUUUUGGGCUAAACAUACAUAUGGAGACAGAGGUAUGGUAGGGCGGGCUAAGGGAUGGCACAGACUAUCUAUUAUAUUGAUCAGAUGCUCUAGUGGCCACUGUAACAAUGAAAAUAAAUAUCCUCAAAAAUCUAAGGCAGUCAGGAGGCGGCAAGAUCAGGACGAGCAAAGAUCAGGUGGGACCAUUCUAGCCAAUGAGAGGGCAGAUAUGGGUGUGAAUAAGAGGCACAAUGGUUUCCACUAGUUACACCAGCCACAAAGUCAAAAUUGGCUAUAUCAAAAAAAAGUUUCAUACAUUUUGAUAAGGUUGUCAGUGUGGCCAAGGUAAGGGCUAGACUUUAAAAUCACAUUUUAAGAAGAGAAAUUGUAGACCUAGGCAGGGAUUAUGACUUUGUGGCUGUAACUAGUGACGACCAGGCACAGCUCAAAGUUGCAGGGAUGUCACGUGUCCUACUUAUAUCAACCUAAUCAUUACGAAACUUGAUCCCAAAUAUCCCUCUCGCUUCGCCUCUUCCUCUUUGGGGACGGACACCCAACUCCAAUAAUCAUGGUCUUCAGUUUAGAACGUAGCCCAAAGGCUGUCAGAUGGCGAUACUGAUGGUUUCAUCUUACCAUCCCAAACGCAUUGUAUGCAGCCGCAAUAGACUUGUAUCCCCGUGGACCGGUUCAUACCUAAAACAGUCUUAAUUCAUCUGCAAAGGCAUGAGUUAUAGAUCUAUCACUCUCAUUGUUCCAUCAUUCUCAUUGAAAGCAAGCAUAAGAAGCGGUAGAUCUGUUCUAUGUGAGCUAUUUCUAUGUUUCCCAUGCUUUAGUUUUGUUUUUGCGUCUUGUACUUUUGUACACCAGCUACAAACAACUGUAAAUACCAGUGGUGGGAAAAGUACCCAAUUGUCAUCCUUGAGUAAAAGUAAAGAUUAACCUCUACGGGAUCGGUCCUGAGCUACAGGCAGUUAGAUUUGGGUAUCUCAUUUUAGGCGAAAAUUGGAGAAAAAAAAGACUCGGAUCCUUUUAAUAGAAAAUUACUCAAGUAAAAGUCACACAGUAAAAUACUACUUGAGUAAAAGUCCAAAACCAUUUGAUUUUAAAUAUACUUAAGUAUCAAAAGUAAGUCAUUUCAAAUUGCUUACAUUAAGCAAACCAGACACCACAUUUUUUUUGUUGCAAAUUGUUUACUGAUAGUUAGGGGUAGGGGCGCAACUUUGGUUAUAGAAGUGGGGGAGCUAAAUAUUAUUUUUUAAGGACAACAAUGUCAAGGUAUUGGAUUGGCCAUCACAAAGCCCUGACCUCAAUCCCAUAGAAAAUGUGUGGGCAGAACUGAAAAAGCGUGUGCGAGCAAGGAGGCCUACAAACCUGACUCAGUUACACCAGCUCUGUCAGGAGGAAUGGGCCAAAAAUUCACCCAAAUUAUUGUGGGAAGCUUGUGGAAGGCUACCCGAAACGUUUGACCCAAUAAACAAUUUAAAGGCAAUGCUACCAAAUACAAAUUGAGUGUAUGUAAACUUCUGACCCAGUGGGAACGUGAUGAAAGAAAUAAAUGCUGAAAUAAAUCACUCCACAAUCAUUCUGACAUUUCACAACUUAAAAUAAAGUGGUGAUCCUAACUGACCUAAGACAGGGAAUUUUUACUAGGACUAAAUGUCAGGAAUUGUGAAAAACUGAGUUUAAAUGUAUUUGGCUAAGGUGUAUGUAAACUUCUGACUAACUGUAUAAUUUUUGUCCAAAAGGAAAAGGCAUGCUUUCGCAAAAGGCUAGCAUCUACAUUUUGAGACAGAUACAGGGUUUCCCGGAUACUCCCGUAAAGCCCAGCUCAUUGGCUAUCUAGCUAGCUUUGCUUGACCCCGAUUGGUGCUUAUUUGACAAAGAUACAGUCGAUCAAAUGAAGACCGGCCGUGUCAUCGGCGUGCCAUGAAGGCGUCGCUCCCUGACCAAAUUUGGUGUCCUAUAGGAUAUACUCCACCCCUAAUGAUAUAGUGAAGUCUGGUUAUGUUCUAGGAUCUCUGAGGAAUACAUAUGAACGUGAUCUGACUGGUUGAAACAAGGUUUAGGGUUAGAUUUUCACAGAUUCCUUUCUUUGCAAAUUUAACGAGUGGAAAUACAAAAUCGAUUGUGCAUGCUAUAUGGACAUUUUUACGAUAUGAUAAAUGAUUUUAUCUAACAAAACAACACUUCAUGUUAUCUCUGGGACCCUUUGGAUGAUAAAUCAGAGCAAGAUUUCAGAAUAUAAGUACACAUUUCACCUUCAGA